AGAGUUUGAUCCUGGCUCAGAGCGAACGCUGGCGGCGUGCCUAACACAUGCAAGUCGAACGUGAAAUGGGGCAACCCAAAGUAAAGUGGCGUACGGGUGAGUAACACGUAGGUAAUCUACCUGAGAGUUUGGAAUAACCUGCCGAAAGGCGGGCUAAUACCAGAUAGAGCGACGGGACUCGUAAAUGGGUCUUUCGGGAAAGGGAGGCAGUAAUGCCCUUCGCUCUCAGAUGAGCCUGCGUCUCAUUAGCUAGUUGGUGGGUAAAGGCCCACCAAGGCUUUGAUGGGUAGCUGGUCUGAGAGGAUGAUCAGCCACACUGGAACUGAAACACGGUCCAGACUCCUACGGGAGGCAGCAGUGGGGAAUCCUGCGCAAUGGACGAAAGUCUGACGCAGCCACGCCGCGGGAGUGAAGAAAGGCCUUCGGGUUGGAAAGGUCUGCCGGAAGGGGAACAAAAACUAUCACGGUUAAUAGUCGUGGUAAUUGACGGUACCCUUAAGGAAGCCCCCGCUAAUUUCGUGCCAGCAGCCCCGGUAAUACGAGGGGUGGAUGCGUUGCUCGGAAUUAUUGGGCCUAAAGGGUAGGUAGGGUGGUCCCCUUUUUUCUGGGGGAAAGCCUUGAGCUUAAUUAUCGAAGUGGCCUCGGAAUCAGUGGAGACUGGACUCCUUGAAGAGGGUCGUGGGAAUUCCCCGAGUUAGCGGUGGCAAUGCUGUAGAGAUUCGGGAGGAACAACACCCGAAGUCGAUAGCUGGCUGACCUCGCGACAAGGUAUCUGACAUUCAGUUAGAAAGCGGUGGGGAGCAAACACGGAUUCAGAUACGCUGGUUAGUUCCCACGCCUGUAACCGAUGGCUACUAGCUCGGUGGUGUCCUGGACCCCGCCGAAGCAGAGCCUAACUGCAACUAAGUAACCCCGCACUGUGAUGUACGGUCGAGAAGCCAGUAUAAUCGCAUCAAAGGGAAUUGACGGGGGCCCGCACAAGCGGUUGGAUCAUGUGGUUUAAUCGAAGCAACGCGAAGACCUUACCUGGAUUUGACAUCUCGGACAUCCGUAGAAAUACGGCUUUAGUAGCAAUACUACCGGAUGACAGGUGCUGCAUGGCUGUCGUCAGCUCGUGUGGUGACAUGUUGGGUUAAGUCCCGCAACGAGCGCAACCCCUGUCUUUAGUUGCCAGCAUUCAGUUGGGCACUCUAAGGAGACUGCCGUGGUGAACACGGAGGAAGGUGGGGAUGACGUCAAGUCCUCAUGGCCUUUAUAUCCAGGGCGACACACGUGAUACAAUGGACGGUACAGAGGGAAGCGAAAGCGCGAGCUGGAGCCAAUCUCAAAAAGCCGUUCUCAGUUCGGAUUGGAGUCUGCAACUCGACUCCAUGAAGUUGGAAUCGCUAGUAAUCGCGGAUCAGCACGCCGCGGUGAAUACGUUCCCGGGCCUUGUACACACCGCCCGUCACACCAUGGGAGCUGACUCAACCAGAAGACGGUCAGGGUAACCGCAAGGAGCCCUCCGGCGAAGGUGGGGUUGGUGACUGGGGUGAAGUCGUAACAAGGUAACC
rnacentral:rRNA from 1 species